GCGUGAGGGAAGACUGCCUAUGGGUUGUAAACCUCUUUUUUCAGGGAGGAAUAAAAUGACGUGUACCUGAAGAAUAAGCAUCGGCUAACUCCGUGCCAGCAGCCGCGGUAAGACGGAGGAUGCAAGUGUUAUCCGGAAUCACUGGGCGUAAAGCGUCUGUAGGUGGUUUGAUAAGUCAACUGUUAAAUCUUGAGGCUCAACUUCAAAAUCGCAGUCGAAACUAUUAGACUAGAGUAUAGUAGAGGUAAAGGGAAUUUCCAGUGGAGCGGUGAAAUGCGUAGAUAUUGGAAAGAACACCGAUGGCGAAAGCACUUUACUGGGCUAUUACUAACACUCAGAGACGAAAGCUAGGGUAGCAAAUGGGAUUAGAUACCCCAGUAGUC
rnacentral:rRNA from 1 species